rnacentral:rRNA from 1 species
AGCGAACGCUGGCGGCAGGCUUAACACAUGCAAGUCGAGCGGGCCCUUCGGGGUCAGCGGCAGACGGGUGAGUAACACGUGGGAACGUACCCUUUGGUUCGGAAUAACGCUGGGAAACUAGCGCUAAUACCGGAUACGCCCUUUUGGGGAAAGGCUUGCUGCCGAAGGAUCGGCCCGCGUCUGAUUAGCUAGUUGGUGGGGUAAUGGCCUACCAAGGCGACGAUCAGUAGCUGGUCUGAGAGGAUGAUCAGCCACAAUGGGACUGAGACACGGCCCAGACUCCUACGGGAGGCAGCAGUGGGGAAUAUUGGACAAUGGGCGCAAGCCUGAUCCAGCCAUGCCGCGUGAGUGAUGAAGGCCUUAGGGUUGUAAAGCUCUUUUGUCCGGGACGAUAAUGACGGUACCGGAAGAAUAAGCCCCGGCUAACUUCGUG